UCGUGAGCCGACUCUUGCCCUAAACCUCGCGGCGCCUUCACCCGAGCCCUAAGCGAGCGAUUCCUUCUCCCAUUCCGCGUACAAAACCUCCCAGCCCAGGGCUUCGCUUUCUUCUUCCUCAUCCUCUGCCCCUCACGGCGUCAGCAUUCUCUGAUCCGACGAGCCACCGCCGACCGAAGUCUUCUUCCUCUUCCUCCCUGUCCAAGCGGCAGCGACGCACGGAGCACCGCCCUUUUUCCCUGUGCCCUAGCGCCAGCCCGCUACCGAGCCUAGUUCUUCCUCUGCGUGCCACUGCCGAGGUUCUUCAUCACCGGCACAGAGCCAUCACAGCCAUAUCCGAGACUCUACUUGGCUGUGCCCUAGAUCAUCGCCGCGGAGAGGCUGGGUAGGCAACUGAGAGAAGACAUCGAUUCGGAGCAAGAGAUUGUUGGGUGUCGCUCCUCCUCGGCCAAGCAUCGACAAUUUACCCUCUGCCCUAGUUCUCGCCGCCACAGCCACCUAGCUUCUGUGCUGUUUGCUGCCACAGAAGAGGACUUUGACGCGAGACCGGGUAUCUCGGAGUCAGAUUUGGACUUUUCUUAUCGGAGGC